UAUCCUGGCUUUCGCAAGCCCCAAUUACUGGAAGACAUGAACAAAUCAUGGGUAUGACGUUACAACUCUGCAAGCUUUCCAAGUAUUGUAGUCGCUAUGCCUGGAUCGCGUCGCGAGUUACUCGCUGUCGUGCUGUUCGAUUUGCUGUUGGCAGCUUCCACGGCGGAAAAGUACGUCCGCACGAGAAGCUACCCACCAGAUCCACUUCGAAGAUGCGAGGAUAAGUGCAACGACGGGGAAGAGCCGUUCGUGGAAAGCUGUAUCUACUACUGCGAAACUGCGGAGUCCAACUUUAAGUAUUUCCGUGGAUAUUACAAGGACUUCACUCGAUGCAAGGCUACUACCAACAGGUACCGUGGGAAAACUGAACGAGUUCCAGGGUUCUGCGAACAGGGCUACUGCAUCGACAUGUAUUCCUUCGAGGUUCCGUUUCCGGAUAAUUGCUCUUACCAAAAUACAGGAGCGCCCGAACAUGCGAACCACGCCACGGGCUCUCCUUUAACACUAGUGCCUCAAAACGAAGAGGCAUGUAAAGGAAAAGAAGAAGAACAUGUGGGGGAUACGGACUACACCACGGGCCCUCCUUUAACUCUACGACCUCAAAAGGAAGAGACAGAUGAAGGAAACGAAGAAGGGGAAGAAAGGGAUACGCUACAAAUAACGACACCCAAAGCACCUGGUACUCUACGUACGACGCUGCCAAAGGAAACCGAGUCAGAGGAGCAGGCAGACUUCGAAAGUAACAUGCCGGUAUACGAGCACUUCUGCGAUGAUUACAUAUGAGAAUAAACUGUCUUCGUCCACAACCUUGCCUAGGUCCAUGCGAUUUUAUCUGAUACUGCUGCCUCUUCCUUCUCGCAGUUGUGCCCCUGUGUCUCGUACGGGUACGUGUACUUCUUGGUGUGCCAUUCAAACGUCCUAGAACGUCUCGCUUGCAGGUGCAUUUUCUCUAUAUAUUCAGUUGUUGCUUCGUCUUGGAGAUGCUAUGCUUGGAGAAAGAAGUUACUAUUUGCGACAAGCUUGUCGGAAUCAGCACCACGUGGCACUGCUGACUGAAAGGAGCAGUACGGGGCACUGACAAUACAGUAGAACACAAUGUUUUUAUUCCAGAAGUCUUACUUGUAAGACUUCUGGAAUAAAAACAUUGUGUUCUAGGAUAUAGGACAGGAUAGGAUAUAGGAUAUAGGACUAGGACAGGAUAUCCUAGCUAUCUCUUAGUCGAUUGCUUGUAAGCAAUCUCUAACUCUAUUGCUCCGUAUCCGUCACCCAGCCCCAGCCCGCUACGUCUAACAGCCGUAUAAAUGUAGAAACACAUUUAGACUUUUUUUUGGCCUAGUCGUCUAAAAUGGGUCAGUAGGGUAGACUGAAGCUAUUCGGAACACGGGGUAAGGCGGACAGCGCUGAGGAAGACUGCGUGCGUAGUUCACAAGAUCUCUACCGGGAAAGCUGCGGAGCUCACUCCUUUUUCCUCCUCAUCCCAGAACACCGACUUAGAAGUUGGCGUUGGUAGUUGCGUCCGGCAUUUUCUCCAUGCUGCCAAGCCAGUAUUGCACGAAAAAAUUGCGUUAUCUAAAAAUGAAGUGUCUCGUUACUCGUAGGUUAAGACCCAGAAAGCACAUAGAAGAGUAGGAAACGUUCAGUGACGAGAACGUAGGUUAGAAAAUACUUCUAGAUGCAUUGGUAUGUCAUUGGCUCUCUGUUGUAUGCCGCAUUAUAUGAAUUUCACAAAUAUAUGCAUUGGGGCUAAUUGGCCCAGGUACUGCGGGAAUAAUUCGACAUUGCUUCCUUAAGAGCCCUUUGAGGUGCUCGGGGUUCGUUUAUUUCUUCGCGUGUUCAUUAUGGUCUGUCUUCUGUAUUGUCGUGCUUUGGCGACAUGGUGCGGAAUUAUUGCAGAACUAAAUUACGCGCAUGGGUUAAGCGCCAACAUGAAGAGCACAGUGGAAACCGUUCAUUCCGGUUGAUCAUUUAAGGACGCCGUUGAACGACACGGAGCCCCAAUAACUACUCUGCUUACAAGGGUGCUUAAGUUUUCCUCCAGCCCUGGCGAUGAAACUCCCCAUUCAUCAUCUCACAAUAAAGUUGCUGUUGUGUGUGCGUCUUCAGCCUGAUAUCGUUAACUUUUCCUCCGACUGCUUGGUCUUUGGUAGUGGAAGGCUGCACAAGCCGCGUGAUUCGAGCAUCGAGAACCCGAAGAACAAGGAAAACAAAGGUGCGAAGGUGUCGCGAAAAUAAAGUCACCACUCUUAUGAUCGAAGUGAAAGACAACAGCAACAUCUGCGGAUUCUGUAGAAGGGCAUUUAGCGAGCCAUGUUCUUCAAAGUUUCUCAACUGUAUACAGUGUCAAGAUUGCCAGAGUCGGUACCAUGAUGUUUGCGUGGGGGCCGCUUCUGUUCAAUACUUUAGUUUUGGAAAAUGCCGGUAAGUUGCCAGUCUUGACAGAAAUACAUGUGUGUGUUGUAACCCUUACACAUUAAUUUAGGAAGGAUUUUUUUUUCAAUAAAGGCACAAAGAAUUGAAGCUUAUUUAGUUGAAUGGUAUUUUUGCAGUGGAUCCUAUUCAUCCCGUGGGUGGGGCAGGGGCGGAUCCAGGCCCUCGGUUUGGAAGGGGGGGGCGGUUUCUUUGUAGGAGUGUCUGUAGUGGGGGAGGGGACAGAGUAAAUCCCAUGUAUAAACUGACGUUUUAGGGGCGAUCGCCCAAACGUCCUAAACGAUAUAUUUAAUGAAACUUUGCCCCGCAGCUGCGAAACCCUAAGACUGAGAUGGACCAUUUAUCCCUACUUUUUCCUACUUAGCUUCUCACUGAGACAUCACGUAAACAUAUAUUAGACACUAUAUCUCAAAUUCGACAUCAGUACCUGAAUGUUUGCACCACUGGGCGACGUAUAGGUUCAUGCAGGUGUGUGUCUGGCAUGCAUGUGGUACAAGAUUUAUUCCUAUAACAUACUAGGUAAAGAUUGAGUAGAGCUGCAAUCGUAUGGACAAGUUACCAACAUUGCCCACACUGUCUUUCCACAAUGACAUACAAAAAAAAGAAAACGGACAUACACUUGCAAAAAAGGUAGUACCCGGCCCCUCAGUGCUCUUUCUGGUAAGGAAACUCCGGUGAGAAGUUCGCUUAGGCGCACCGACGACGCGUGGCGACGCAUCGGCCGUUCAGGGGGAGACUUUCGUGUCCGCCGGUGCCUGCGCGUAUGGCUUGCAUAGUGUUUCUGCGGGUGUUAGGAAGUGAGAAUUUUCCCUCUUUUGGUGCUUGCCUUUCGCGUGUGUAAAAGGAGUCUUUUUUUUUUUAGUAUCGCUGAAGUUUACUGUAAUUUUUGCACUCUGUUCGUGUGUAAGAAUGAUCUACACGGACCAAGGAGACUGAUACGAGCACGCAGCAUUUCGUGAUGGCUAUAUUGGCGAGAGAUAAAUGAAAGUAUUUUUUCUAUGUCUACAAAACAGCAAUGCCUUGGUGUACGGGAAUAGACACAAAAUAUUCGCUAAUAGCCUUAUUGGAGGUGUACUGCGAUGAGUGUGAUUGACGAAUCAUCAAGCACUCGUGAAACAAGACCGUAAAAUUUUCAGAUAGAUAAUGAUAGAUCUUUCAACAUGAUGUCGAUACAAAAACAUUUCUUAGGGUACAACUUACGCGGAAAGAUGUAACGUCAACCCGGCUUGGUAAACGAAGUUAGUUGAUACUCGUUUACUCGUUUACAUACUUGUUUUUGCUGGAUCGGAACCGGGGAGAGGGAGGAGUGAUGUUUUCACUUUUUCCCUAUUCAUUUUUCUUCUUCCUUUCUGAUCUGCAUUGCGUGAAAAGUUUCUGCGGCCCAUCAACUACAGACUCUAUAGCUCAUUCAUGGCCGUUUAUAGUGCUAAAAAAUAUCGGUUCCUUGUCUUCAUCAUUACUUUCAAGCGAAAGGCUGACUCAAAAAAUGUUGCUGCAUUUCCCCUUACUUAUCUCUUUCCAGUUCUGAUAUUUAUUUGUCACCAGAUACCUCAACGUUGUUCUCCUAAAUGCAGUUUUUGGCCAAUCCUAAAAUUUCCUUCUGAGCUAUGAGAUCGUGGCCGCUCCCAAAUAAAACUGCAUUCUGUAUCAGCACACACCGCUACAAUUUCAUCAUUUUAAAUAGUUUUUUUUAUUGGAACGUCCUGGAACUGAUAUGACUGAUACGCUGAGGCUAUCUCCAACGCGAUGAAUUUGACACCUGAAUCUCGUCAGCCAAUUUUUAUAUUUGGAGAGCGCUAUUAGAGCCGCACUUCCUGUUAAUUUGGUAACCCGUCUUGAAUAAUGUUGGAAUCUCAUUCCUCAUUAUAAACAACUUUAUUUUGACUUUGGAGAGUGGGGAGGUUCAUCGCAAGAGGCGAUACUCUACCCCAUUGCUGGUGGGAAUGUGGGGAAUAAAAUAACGAGCCCCUUCACAAUAACGAUCGAAGUCCGAUGGUGUCCAGAAAUGUCAAAAGAGCUUUGAGCGCAGAGCGUUGCCGGGCUGGACUGGGCCAGGGACCAAGGAAUUUCGGUAGGGAGAAGGGGCGAUAGUACAGCUGACGAAGAGACUCGGAGAGUGCGGUUCGGGAAGAUUGGUAGUGGGGGCAGUGAAGAAGAAUAUGCUCCAGAUCCUCAAGAGCACCAGUAGUAUACGACUUGUGUUAAACUACGACAAUGUUAAACUACGACAUGGACCCCUGGGCCCUGCCCUGAGGCCUGCGCGUAUUUUUCCCUGCGCGGCGCGUGUGCGGAGGGUUUUCCGCGCGCUUAUAACAUGCAGAGACAUGCAAAGAAGGGUCAUACACAAAAAGUACAAGUGAAAAAAUAUUUAUUAAUGCCAAUUGUAAUGCCAAUCAAGUUGCGAUAUAUUUAUUAAAGCCAAUUGUGUUGGGAAUUGUGCCAAUUGUGAUGCCAAUCAGGUGAAGGAGAAAAACCCAGCCGAAAAACCUUCACGACCUGUAACAGAAGAAACACAAUACACAUAAUAAAGAAUAUAUACAUUUAUUGUUGUCUAAAUAUUUCAUUCAAUGUCUCCAUGAUAACACUUUUUAUGAACUCUUUUGUUUCCAAUCCUGAAAGAAAACAUAAAAUUAACGUCGUCACAUUUGCUUACCACACGAUAACUCACGUUGGACACAGCACUGACGUGAAAAAGUAGAUAUUGUUAUUAUACGAAACUACACUUCUAUUUCAAUAAUACAUACAAUGUUGUGCUGGCAGACCCCAGUAAUCUGUAAGUGAAUCUUAAUUAAUAUCAAUUUAUACAUUUCAAUAAUACAUACACUGUGGCGACGGACCCCAGUAAUCUGUAAGUGAAUCUAAAUUAAUAUCAACUUAUACAUUUCAUUAAUACACAUGUUGCGGUGGCGGACUCCAAUGAUCUGAAAGAGAACAUCAUUUAUUUUUCUAAUUAUGCUAUAACUUUUACUCACAUCCAGGCGUUGGUCUUGGUACAGGCGUGUAAGCUGAAAAAAGAUAUUAUCAGUUAAUAAUACACACUCAACUAAAUAACACAAUAAUGCAUACAUAUCGGCGGUGGCGACUCUGGAGCUGAAACAAGAAAUCAAAUUUAAACACCUUUUUCAUAUUCCUUAUAAUUCCUUACCGUUUUGAAAAAAUGAUGGACUAGAGCUAAAUACUGAAAAAAAGACAAUAGCCAUGAGAAAAAAGAACUACAUUGCAAAUCAAAAACUUACUGCUCUCAUCCGACACUGGCGUGUAAGCUGAAAAAUAUUAUCAAUUAAUAACACACACAUACACACACACACACACACAACUACACAACAACUAUAUACACAACACAAUAAUACAUACAUAUCGGCGGCGGCGACUCUGGAGCUGAAACAAGAAAUCAUUUUUAAAACCUUAAAUCAUAUUUAAACACCUUUUUCAUAUUCUUUAUAAUUCAUUACCAUUUUCAAAGUAUAUUGGGCUCGAGCUGAGUUCUGAAAAAGACAAUAUCCAUGAGAACAAAGAACUACGUUGCGAAUCAAAAACUUACCGUUUUCGUUGGACAUUUUUUUGGAAUGUGUGUCAGUCAAGUGAGGAAGAAACUUUUAAACGUGCGCAUCCUCAUUAUCAUACAACCUCCUCUCCACUCUUUGCCAUUUAUUACCUUUCGAACGAGCCCACCUCCUCAUUUUUCCAUUCGUUCCCCAGACCAGGAGCUCUCUCCCAAAAUAAUUAUGCAGAAGCUCUUUCGGAAAGAAAUGUGAAGAGGAGGAAGUUGAGUCUCCCGAAGACAAGAAAUGGCGUCUGAAACAAGAAAUUCAUGAAGCAAAAGCUGAAGCUAUCAGACGCGUUUUGUCUCACGAACGUCUCCUCAGGAUCAAACGAGAGUCUGCGAAAAGUCAAUUUGAUCAAAUCGACGGUGGAUGGUAAUAAAUCUAGUUUUCAAUACAUCAUAUUAUCAGUUUCACUUCUACCUCUGCGACAUAAUGUCCGACGUAAGACCGUUUUCUUUCAUCCAUCCUGCAUGAAUUAUUAUAUGUGGACCUUCUAUGUCAGGAGAAACUUACUUAGUUCGUAACAUCCUUAGAAAUCUAUCAGUAUUCAGUGUAGUCCCAGAACAAAUAUUUUAUGUUACUAAAUAUGACGCUAGCUGGCAGAAUGAAUUCACUAAAAUUACAUUUAGUAAAGAAUUACCAACGACAUGGGAUGAGAACAUACCAACACUCAUUAUAGUUGACGAUCUCAUGACUGAAAAGAAUGUUAUGCAAGAUAUGGUUCACCUCUAUACGAGAGCGUCCCAUCACAAGAAUGCAUCAAUUAUUUUUCUUUGUCAAUACUUAUUCUAUAACGAUGUAAACUACCGCACUCUAUCCCACAACAGCACAUAUAUAAUAUUAUUCAAUAAUUUAAGAUCUCGUGCGCAACUCGAACUUCUAGGACGACAAAUCUACGGGAAAUCACGGUUGCCAUACUUUCUGAAUGCAUUCGAACAAGCAACAGAGAAACCAUUUGGUUAUCUAGUGAUUGACCUACACCCACUUACCCAGUCUGAUAAAAGAUUGCGAACAGGUACAACCAAGCUCGAGUCACAAUAUGUAUUCAUACCAAUGAAAAGUCUACGUCACCAUUUAACUUUCCUUAAAGUGCUUGCAACCUGCACUCCAAAAGAACGGGAAAACAUAUUGAAGGAGGCUCCUCCGCACAGCAUUGAAGCUCUUUCCGAAGUUUGCAAGAAUAUAUUGAAUGGUAAUGUUAAACUGUCACCAACACUAUACAAAGAUUUAAAGAAAUAUAAAGCUACAAUUCGAUACAUCGCAUAUAAAACAUUGCACAAAUCACCAAAGAAGCUACAAAAGUUUUUAUAUCGACAACGUGGAGGUUUGGUCCCAUUGCUCCCACUAUUACUGACAGGCUUGACUAGUAUACUAGGUGGUGUAGCAGGGCGGGCUAUAGCUAAGGUAGCCGGUGUUUGAAAGUGGCAACAAAAAUCGAGGUAUUAAAUCUAGUGGACACUAUUUUGGAAUCUAAUGAAAGUGAAGAUCUAAAGGUAAAGCGUAUGCUAACAGCUAUGUACUACACCAUAAAAAUCAAUUGAAACCGACAACAGAAUCAGAUCCGCCAAUAAUAAAACCAUUACAAAUGGAGGAAAGUAUUAGCAGAAAAUUCGAUUAUGACGCUCUACCAGAUAAUAUAAAUAUUAAAAAAGUUAGGCGCAUAGUGUCAGCGAUACCGAGGAGUUUGUCAUGGAAUGAAAAAGGAGAAAUCAUUCAUAACAACAAAACCAUUCAUGGCUCUAGUAUAACGGAAUUGGUCUUGUACCUAUCCGGUCAUAAACUAGUCAGGCCCGCAUGGUUUCUAAAGGUGUCAAAACUUCUACUAUCACACAAAAUCAGACAGAAAAGAAAAUCAAAGAAGAAAAUAUUGUGAGAGACCUACAAGUCGCCGCAAAGAACAAAGUUGAUUUCAUCUUCGGAUGAAGAAUAUUUCUCAGAAGAAGAAUGAGCUACAGAUCACCUGACGGCGGGCUCGGAGGGGUCAAACGCUAUCAAAAGGCACGGGAAAUCAGAAGGAAAGAAGCACUACAAGAAUUACAACGUGAUGAUGUCUAUACUCUCCACAAAGAUGCGCGACGAAGAUUUAAGAGAAGGAAAGUCAUCUCACUCCACCUGAAUGAUCUACAUCAAGCAGACCUCAUUUCAUUCAUCCAAUACAAGAAAUACAAUAAAGGAUUCUCAUACAUACUGCUUGGGAUAGACUGUUUGUCGAGACAAGUCAUGGCCACACCUCUCAAGACCAAGCGAAGUGAAGACGUGAAGAAAGGAUUUAUGAAGCUAUAUCGAAAUAGAGGCAUAAAACCGUGACUAAUCCAUGUAGAUCAGGGGCGUGAGUUCUUCAACAAACAAGUGCAGGCUUGGUGUAAGCGUCAUGGCAUCUUAAUGUAUCACACUGGGACAGGACUCAAAGCAUUUAUGGCUGAACGCGCCAUUAGAACAAUUAAAGGUCGCCUAUUCCGAUAUUUUUGUAGUAAAGGACAUCACAAGUACCUUAAAAUUCUUCUAAAGAUUAUAGAAGAUUAUAACAAUUCUUACCAUAGAACUAUUAAAAUGGCACCGAAUGAAGUGAAUGAAAGUAACGAGGUUGAGCUCUUCAAUAGACUCAAUAGUAAAAAAGAUGAUGACAUCACAAUACCAUUCGAAAUUGGCCAGCAAGUUCGUGUUCUAUUGAAUUGAUCAAUAUUUGACAAGGGGUACACAGGACACUGGUCUCACCUUAUCUAUACAAUUUCGAGGUAUAAGAAAACAUAUCCACCUGUCUUUUACAUUGCAGGCCCAGAUGGUGUAGAAGAAGAGAGCACAUAUUAUGCAAACGAAUUGCAGCGCAUUAUUAAAGAGGCUGAUGACCCAUAUCCAAUUGAAAAAAUUAUAUCCAGUAAGAAAAUUGAUGGAGUCACUCAGUAUAAAGUGAAGUGGGCUGGUUAUGAUGAUUCAUUUAAUUUGUGGGUUCCAGUGCAAGAUGUUGCCAGGCUCUGAAUUUUAUAUGUACCUCCUAUCCAAUGAUUGUACCGAAUUAUAUCCAACAAAUACACUGGACAACUUUACAAUUGCUUUGAAUGCACCCCUACAACUGAGUGGAAAGUAUGAAGUUGGACUACAAGAACUAUCUAUCUGUAAUCUAUUCUACAAUAUACCGCGGAGUGAUGAUGGUGUCAUGCAGGUUGAUUACAAAGACUUUGCAGAGGUUCGCAAGACUAUUGUCGUUAAAAAAACCAUCGAAAUGGCCCUUCUAGAGCUUUUUGAAGACUUGAACAGUUCUCUCAAUUAUAUUGAUGGGAGAUAUGUAUUCAGUUUACCACAUUCUGUUCGGUCAAUUAAAUUUAUAGAUGAAAACUUGCAAGAGGCUAUUGGAGUGUCAUCCAUUCAAGGCAAUACUAUAAUAGGUUCUAAGGUGCCUCGUCAGGACACAUUCCUUCGAGAGGAAAUCGCUUCGCAGCUAUGCAUACUAGAAGAAAUUUCUAUUCUUACUUCAAAUGGCUUGAUCGCAUUCAUUCCAGGUUGUUCUAUCAAGACAACAUUAAAUCGCUUUUUUAGAACACACAAAAUUGAAGCAAAUGUAACAUUCCGAGAGAAUAGUUAUAGAUUGUCACAGUCAUUACACAGUCUCUUUGCUAUUCCAGAACAGCUCAAGAAUCUCCUCAGAUUAAAUAAUUUUAAUAUAAAAGAUGAUACAGCCUACUACUAUGAAGAUCCAUUUGAACGCGCUUAUGACUUGAUUAUAGAGAAAGAAGUACUGGUUACAAAAAGAAUAACUAUUCCACCAGAUCAUUAUGAAACUCCGAAAUUACUGCUACAUACAAUCAACAAUCAAUUAAAGGGCAAAGCUCUACUCACAUAUAGUAAUGAGAGAAAGCUCUGCACUAUCAACCCAAUUGACGGUGUUACCAUUCACCUAUCAGAAUACCUCUCUAAUAUGUUUGGUUUUGCACCACUCACAACUUUUGCGAGCAGUACAAGUGGAAACACACACCUCAGACUUACACUAUUAUUCCAUCAUUUUAUAGUUUAUUGCGAUAUUAUUGAACCAUCGAACUUGGGUGCGACGAAGUUUCCCAUAUUAAAAUUUGUUCCAUACUCUGCAAAGGAAGACAAUAUCAUUCAUUAUGCUUUCCAAAACAUACAAUAUUUUAAGCUAUUGCAUAAUGAAAUAAAUUUCAUUUCAAUUAAGUUGUGUGACGACUCUGGUCGACCUCUCGACUUCAAAGGACCAGGCAAAACAGCUCUAGCUCUACAUUUGAGACAUGUAUCUUAAAGAAAUCCCGGAAAUCCACUACGGUCACGGACUUGGCAAUAUUACGCCAUACUCAGGACCAAUGUUCCAGAGGGGCAGUGGAUUCUUUAAAUCAUUGCGCAAGUUUGCAUUACCACUCCUGCGACGAGCACAUCCAUACGUUACUAAGACCGGAAUGAAUGCAGCAAAAAACCUGGCACGAAAACUAUCAGAUGGUCAACAUUUGAAAGAAGCCAUUAGAAGCAGUGCAUCCGAGCUUAAGUCGAAAGUGUUAAAAGAUUUCGCUGUCGGCGGUGGCCGACGUAGGAAAAGAAGAAGAAAAGACGUCUUUGACAAGCAACCCAAUUGGAGUGAGGAAUAAAUAUUUUCGUCAACGCUGGCGUCCGUUUGUCUGACUGGAUAGUAAAAAUGAGCAGUCCAAGAUAGGGCAAAAUGGGAAAUAAGGCAAGAUAACUGAUUGCAGUGGUGAUAAGCCAAAGCGACUGUCCACUUAAAAAAAGCCAUUAGAACCGGCGCAUCGACACGGGAGGUCGCGACGAUAACGGAUUGUGGUGGGGGUAAGUCAAAACAACUGUACACUUAAAAAAAGCCGUUAGAACCGGCGCGUCGACACUGAAUUGUCCAAUUUCAAAGAAAACCAUUAGAAGCGGUGCGUCGACGCUGGAGGUCUCGACACGGGAUCGGAUUUUGUACUCGUUACCAUAGGUCAUGGGAAGAUGCGAUAAAAAGCUGCUUAGAAAGAGCCACGAAAUGAUUCCAUUUCUUCUUAGAAGCGGUGCAUCGAAGUCGCGACACACUGUUUUCCGACUUGAAAGAAGUGGAGGGGGGGAAAAGCGGAAGUAAGUGGCGACAAGUAAAUGGUCCUAAAAAUAAAACAUGGGAGAGGGUGACAAUUGUAUUCAGUCGCAAACAUGUCACUGGUCAACGUAGUCCACGCCCAGUCCGAAUUGGUUUUGAAGGGGGAGUGUGAGCUUUUUCAAAUCCCACCCAUUCAAAUUUCUAUAGAAUCAUGCGAGAAUCAAUUAUUCUACCCUGUAUCAACAAUUACAGGCGCCGAAUCUACGAUUGAAUGGAAUAUAAGCAACUUAUCCGAUCUCUAUCUCGAUGUUUCUAGUAUGUACAUUACACUAACUAUGCAGAUAUUGAGAAGCGAUGGGAGUGAUCCGUAUACAAGAACGGCAGAUGGUGUAGUCAACGAUGUUGUAUUCCCCGUGAAUAACUUGGGAGCUGAAAUGUCUAAGUAUACUAAUGUGUAUAUCAAUCAGCGAUUGGUAUCAUCAAAUUGUUUGAAUUCCUACCGAUGUAUGCUUGAUACUUUGCUCCACACCAACACUCAUCUUCAGAAAACAGUAGAUGAUUGUGGAAUGUAUAUUUAUGAUUCAGGUGAACAUGCUGCAAACGAUCCAAAUUCGAAUGUUGCUAAAGCACUCAUUUCUAGAACAAGUGGUGGCAAACUAUUUGAAGUUGUCAUGCAUGUUAAUACGGAUUUGACAGAUCAAAUUAAGCUAUUAUUACCGGGAUUGGAUGUUAGGGUGUCUGCUGUGUACGCCAGCGACAUGCAUCGCUUAUUGACGGGUCCAGGAGAAACUCAUCAACAUCAAAUCAAGAUACGCAAUGCAGUACUGUCAUUACAUAAAGUCAAAGUCAGUAGCUCAACUUUCCUCUCUCACCAGUCUAUACUGAAGAAACAUCCAGCGUGUUAUACUAUGCGAUGUUUAGAGAGCAAAAUUAAGACAAUAACUGCUGGCUCAGUGGAUGGAAUUUUCGACAAUCUAUACACCGAUCGCAUUCCAGAUCGGAUCUCAAUGGUUAUGACACGGACCGACGCCUAUCAGGCCCCAAGAACACACGCGGUCCUCAGGAUGUCCUCAAAGUGUCAUCACGUCCUCGUCCGUGAUGGGAUGAACGAAGGAGGUUCACAGGCUGUCAUUAUAGGAGCUUCCAGUGAUUGUCAUUUGCGUACAUCCUGCGGUCGUCAACCGGAGGACAAGCACAGGAGAAGUAAAUUAUUUUAAUACUGCGUUGUGGGCAUUUUAAUACCUGCUAGCCAGUAUAAUCAACUUCCCGAUUUAUUUCUCAUUACCCAAUACAAUCAAAGAAGAAGUGCUCAUGCAUAAAUAAAAAAAACGACCAAAUAUAAAAUAGAAAGAGAUAAAGGGGCGCAAAUACUGAUCGUCGGAUUUUAAAGGAAUCCGUCCAUGUGCAGCGUUUGACGUGCACUAAAAUACAGUUUGCUAGACCUUUCACUGCGGUCUUGUUGCAUGAGUGUCCGCAAAGGGUCCCUGGCAGGAGGUUGCGCGGAGCCUUUUAUUUCCGAAGAGACAAAAAAUAAUAGUGUUUCACUGCUCAGGCUUCAAUGUCUAGGCAUGCAUCAAACCAAAGCAGUAAGAAACACGGACACUACCUUGAUAGCUAUUUAAUACUCCAAGGAAUUUCUCACUUCAUUGUUGGUUAUGUGCGAAAUCAAGUUAAACUUAGAUACCUCACCCUUUGUUUUGACUGAGAUGCGAAGAGGACUCCCGAAUCUGCUGAAGUUCGGAAGACAAGCAAUAACUUGUAUCUGUUCUGUCUUGGAAAGGAAAUGCUGCUGCAUCAUAUGCCUUUCAAAGUGGUUUCGCAGGUUUUAGUGACCUAGGGGCCUUUUAUAUAUCUUUUUUUUUGCCAUUUAAACUGUGACACUCAUUGUUUGUGAUGAGAAAUACGCUGAAGGAAAUACAGAUGAGAAACCACGAAUGGUAGCUGGUGACCGAGGUUGAAAAUAUAUAAAAAAUACGCACACGCUGACUGGGUGCUGCAAAUGUGCCCUCACUUCCCAAAUUAAAUAAUUCACUAAGGUAUCUGUUUGCUCCCAGAACUGUACUAGCCGCGUCAUUUGGUAGCUCCCAUAGGAGGUCCUGAGGAUAUGACGGGGAGUCUCACUUUGUCACAUUUCUAACAAAUUGAGGACCUGGUAGGGAAGUCCUGGGGAUGUUAUCCCUGUCCGUUGGUAACUUUCCUCGGACGUACCUAGGAGGUCAUUGUGUUCUUGGGGGGGUGACUUCAAACUGAGUCAUUUCAAUUUUGAACAUUUCAAUGUGAGUUCAGUAACCCUAACAAUUGACGGACAUCGAAAACAACUCUCAUACGACUGGGACAAUGACCUAUGCAGAGGAAGCUAUUAUGAUUUCCUAUCUCAACUGAAUGAUAGAAGCGUUGAGCUGCGUUAUCAGAAUUAUAAAACUAAUUCAUUCAUAUUGCAUUGGAACCUCAGUGCAGACCAGUCCGUUGGCGGCUACUUUAAUCGGAUACAUAAGGGAAAUUGUAGAAUUGAACUUAAAUUUGCAAAACCAUUGCCUCACGCUGUGUCGAUUAUACUUAUAAGUGAGAGCCCCAAGAUAUUGACAGUCAAUGCUGACCUUGCAGUUCAUUUGGAUUAAAUCAUGGACGUUCUAGAUCUUGAAUUAUUGUUUUCAAUAAACCCUCAAACUGUGAGAAUGUAUUGGGGAACCUACGCUGUCGACAGAGUUUCGCCACUUCAAGAAGAAGGUUUCAUUGACAUUAAUACGCAUCCACACGACGGCCCGGGAGAGCAUUGGUUGUUGUACAUGAUGGAUCGAAAUGAUAGAUUCAUCUAUGUGGACAGCUUUGGUCUACCAUCAAUUGAAGAGGAACUGCUAGAUCUACCUGUUGACAAAUAUUGUGACAAGUGUAUCAGAGUCUCUACAGCUCCCACUGCGGACUCUUUGUUUCCGUAUUUGCUUCUCGUCUUUGUAAGAAUUAUUCAAUCAAAAGCAUUAUGUCAUUAUUUGACAAUAACCUUGUACACAACGAUCUCAAGGUAAUAAAAAUGACUGAAGAGGAAUACCUCAUUUAAGAAAAAAUUCUCUCAUUUAUUCAUUGUACAAGCACUUUGAAGAUAAUCCUCCAGACUCACUAUCUUGCGAGAGCCGUCUUCUUUUCGCUGGAUGAUGUAGUGCGAAUGUUGAAUGUAAUAAUUCCGAAGAUCGGUCUUCUCAAACCGGCAUUGAUAAUGGUCGGUGAAAUCUGUUCACCAUCACGGUAACGUCUUAAAAAGUCACAUUUCACGGCGACAAACUUUUGUAGUCUUUUCCUUAGUUGUCCGCGUCUUGUUUUGAGUUGAUACGGUAAACAUCGCAAGAUGAGUGUGAAGUCACUCUCAGGUCCGUUGCAAUUCAAGUACGAGUUUAAUUUCAUCAGGUCCUUAUACAUCAUCCACUGUAUAAUCAGGUGAAAUCUCUCAGCCGAGUUCAUACUGAAUCCGAGUUGGGAUGGCAUCCAUGGGAUGGUCUGAUGUUAUGAUCUAGCCAGUCUGACGAUUUUGUUGAAAUCAAUCCACUGCAGCGACAUUGUCUCAGAUGAUCGCCAUUUUGUAUAAAAAAAACUUCUGGGUGGUGUCUUCAAUGUUUGCACAAUGGGCAAGUCGCCUGUCAGAAGACACUCGUAAUCUAAAACAAAAAUCUCCUUAAAGUUACUGGAAAGAGAGGAGAAAAGCUGUAAAAAACUCACAGUCCUCCAGGGAGAGUGAGUAGCACUCGUCUGUUUCCAUCGCUGAUUUGGGAGAGAAUGAGAUGGAAAGGAUGCCUAUUGGUUUUCUUAGUAUGCCAUUGGUUAACAAUUUUCUAUAUACAGUUUUUGGUUCCGCCCACAUUUACUAUAAAAUAGUGGGUGACGGUAUGUUUUUUCCACCAAGUUCUGUUGCCCUGGUUGCAGUGCUUGUUUCCUUUGCCAAAAAUUUGUUUUGGUGUGCUGCCGAGAUCUUUGAGAAUGCCUCGCUGUGGAAGCUGUGGGUAUGAUUGCGUUGAGGAGGUAAUUCGUCAUAUGGAGGAGGAAGCUAACGUUCCAAAUUUAGAUCCUGCUUUGUUUGAUGAAGAGUGGGGAUUAGAAUUCGAUCGUGUUUUGAUGGAUGGAGUUUUUGAUGAUAAUACGCCGGCAGAUGCCGUGCAAAAUCCCGAUAGCCCAGAGCCUGUUGUGAACGAUCUCGCGGAACAUGUUUCGGUGGCUCAUCCUGGUGUUAGCGUACCAUACUUUCCAUUCUUUGAAACCGCUGCGGCCUUUGAAGGGUACCUUGGACGUUACGUCCUGUUGGCGUCACCAUAUGAUGACUUUGUCGAGGAUUCGUUCGAAUACCUGUUACAUUACCAGCACGAUAUAGUUUCCAUAUUACAACAGCACCCCAUACCUUUUAAAUUUUAUAUGCGCGUGAAAGUACUGAUGGGAAAGCAAGUUGGCGAUUCAGUGAGCAGCCACUUUGCUUUUCUAAGUGCCGUGUCGCGAGAAAUUCAUAGUCUCGCGGAUAUAAUGGUUGCGCUAAAUGAAAUGAUUAGCGAGUUAGCGCAACCUUGAAAAUUAUCAGGGUAAAGGUAGCGGUUACGUCUCCUGGGAUGUAUCCGAAAUCGAAUUGAACAUAAGCACAAUUGAAAAAAAGAAGAUUGGCUGUAACACUGUAAUUCCUGCUGAAUUGAAAAAAAGAAAGAAAACACUCACAAAUGUAAAAUGCCCUGACAAUGAGUGUUUCAAAUACAAUGCUUUAGCGCUAUUGCAUCCUCAAAAAGCGCAUGGAAAUGAGUGGAAAACAUAUCGUAAGUAUCUGGUGGAUCUCCAAUCGAAUCCCACGGUUAGAGUCAAAUGGUGGCCCGACGGUCCGGUAUCGUAUUCGGAGAUUGCAGAAUUUGAAGAACAGAACCAAAUUGAAGUGUAUGUGUACUGAUAUCAGAAUGGGAGUAUCCACACUUCUCGUGUUCCACGGAAUAAGGUGCAGUUAUUGGAAAUUGAUAAUCACUUUUUUGGGAUAAGGAAUUUCAGUACCUUGUUUGGUCGCAAAAAAAUGUUUUUUUGUGAAAAGUGUACGAGAGGAUUUAGAACGCAGGAAAAGUUGGUGUCACAUAGAAGAGUGUGCAAGAAUUUUGAGGAGCUUUUGUUGGAGUUCCCAGAGCCAGGUAAGAAUGUUCUAAAAUUUGACAAGUUUGGUCACAUAUGUUUGCAUUUCCAUAUAUUAUCGGACUCGAUACAGAGUCUGUCCUCGACCCUGACACGAACGUGAAAAGUGCCGUGCAGAAGCAUGUUAUGAGUUCCUUCUGCUGCAUUCUAAUCAGAACCUAUGAUUCGAAAAUACUCGCAAAUGAAAAAUAUUUAGGUCCGGAUGCCGCUUCCAGAUGCGUCGACUGCCUGCUACGUUUUCAUAACAAGGUGGUCGAUAUCAGUCGUUGCCCUGCCCCCAUUAAACUCACAGACGAAGAGACUCGUAAACAUAUCGCUGCAACGCACUGCGAGUAUUGUGGUGUGUUAUUUAGUGUUGCCAGGAAAAAGGUUCGUCAUCAUGACCACAGCCGUGAAAGCAGUGUCAGCAACUUUUUGGCUACCAUUUGUAACGAAUGUAACAUCAGUUGCAGCAAUCACGGCAAAAUUCCAGUGCGCAUCCACAAUCUUCAAUAUGACAUCAGCUCCUUGUUGCAUUGCUUCCAUGCUUUGAAGUGGAAACGCCCACCCAAGCUCAUCGCGACGAGCUCGGAGAAGAUUCGCAAUUUUGAAUAUGGCAAUCUCAUAUUCAGGGACACCACGCAAUUUUUAAAUAGUUCCCUUUCUUGUUUGGUUGAUAGUUUGAAGGUGUCGGAAGGAAUUGAGGCAUUUAAGUGCCUGCAGCAAGUGUAUGGUAAUGACUUUGCACGUUUAACUAGGAAAGGUGUGUACACAUAUUCCUGGAUCAAAAGCUUUCAAGUCUACAAUGAAGAAUGCCUGCCGGCCAAGGAUGGUUUUUAUGGUGAUUUGAAUGGAACACACAUCAGCGAAGAUGACUAUGCUUUCGCUCGGGAAACAUAUGAUCAUUUUGAUUGCAAGUCAUUGAAAGAUUAUACAAUGAUCUAUUUGGAAUGUGAUGUCCUGCUCCUGUUAGAUGUUAUGCAGCAUUUUAGACAGCUUUCUAUCAGCGCCUCCUCUAUAAUGGAAUGCCUGUCGCUUCCCCGCGUGCGCCCAUCUGAGCAUGCGCGGAAGAAAGGAGAACGACGGCAGCCCCGACAGAUGGCGACGUGCUCCGACACUCGCUCGACUUUGUCCGCCCAGCGCGUACGGCAAACGCAUCCAAGCAUGGCUCAUGCAAACACAUCGUGAUAUUAGACUGCGCAUGCAAGUAAAUUAGGCAUGACAGUUCCUAAAGAAUUCCAAAACAAAGCAACCAAAAUAAUUUUAAUGCGACCAAAUCGAGCAUGACUGCACUUCAGCCUCAGAGCUUCAAGGGCUUGCGCGAAAGUGGUUUGUGCGUAUACAUUUUGACGAUACUGCUUCUGUCUGUGAAGUCAAUCGCGUAGUUUGACAUAAGAGGGCGCAUAAAUUUCGUGCACAGCAUCUCAAGAAGAAUCUUCCUGUGGUCUUUGUCUCUGUUCUCGCACAUGAGGACUGGGAGAUCCAUGAGCACGUCGACUGCAUUUCUGACUCCAGUUAAUAGUCUCGAUUUUUUUCCUACGUUGUAGGAGAAUGUCCGUGUAUCGUUUCAGGGCCAUUAGAACACGGACGAGCUCUUGAGUGGGGUACAGUAGGCCUCCUCUGUCCUGGUGAGCAAUCAGCCCGUCUACAGCAGCAUUUGCAUUCGGCUUUUGCAUUAGUCCAAUACAGUUCUCACAGGGAAGUUUUUCGGAGAUGACACGAGCAGCAUAACCGCCUAUAUAGGCGAUACUGGCAACAGUGGGAUUAGGGAGAUAGGGCACAGUUGAAAGAGCCAGCUCCCUCAGCAUUUCAUUAGCGUCAUGCAGGUGCUUGCUGAAGUCCUGUGGUGUGCUGGUUCUGCUGCUGCAGUAUGAGACCGUUGUUGUGCUAUGGAAACUCUCAGAGCUCUUCACAUUACUCUCUUCAGAAGAUGCCACAAUUCCAGCUUUUAGCAUUUUCUCAAUUCCACAGAGUACCGUCUUUACAUCCAUGGCAUCUUUGCACCCAGCUGUGCGACGUAGAAAUCCAAACAGAGCUUCUAUGGGGUCACUUGAAAAGUUUCUUGGUAGCACGAAGGCGAAGUGCUUCUGAGUCAGGAGGAAACGGAUGCAGCUUACAUUGGAAAGUGUUGUAAAUACCAGAGCAUGGUGUGUCUCUUUGGUGAAGAAAUUGUUUUGUGAACUUUCACACCUCAGCUUUUCCACAUAAUCAAGAAAUGUGGUCUCCAACCACAACAACCCUGGGUCGUUCACAUCCCUGAACUCUUUUGUAUCUGGGUAUUUUUGGUGGAUGUUCUGGGUGCAGUUGCUCACGUCCUGAAGCACGAACCACCUGCACAUGAUUUUCAUAAAUUCAAUGGUUGGCCCAGCAGAUGAAAAGAGUACAUCACAGGUGUGCCCAGCCUGGUCCUUCAUGUAGCUUAGUACAGCCGUCACUUGUGGGGACAAUAUCUGCACAGCUGUCCGGACAUUCAUCUUUUCUAUGUUGGAAGGAUACAGAUGUUUUCUCGUUAAAAAUCUCACUGGCUUGACGAUUGACUGUUUCUGCAUUUUGUAUAGUUCCUUGAUGUACUGUGAGGAUAUCUGUCCAUUUGCACCGAAGUCUUUGGAAAGCAUCUGGGAGCGUACGUUCUUGAUUAUAUGACUCUGGUCGAACGCUAGAAACAGUUUUCGACUUGCAUCAACUGGACGGGGAACACAGUGCCUCGCACGCCCACCAGACAAGAUGUUGAUGGCGUUGACAUUUAUCUUAUGAUUGUCCGAUACUAGUCGCACGACUUCAAAUCCACACUCUUCCACUUUCUUUAUCACAUGAGUUGUUGUUUCUGCUAGCUGCGCACCACUACAGCCGCGGGUAAAGAAAUACCCCACCGGAAUCUUGAAUUUUGUGGAUAAGCCACACAGCAGGAAGCACAAAAGAGAAUUGGCAAGGCUGUCGUCAGUGGAUCUGUGGAUGUGUGCCAAGUCCGUGCUCAUGUGCACAUCACCCAGAAAAGUGUCACGCUGCUUGUGGUACUCCAACUUUUCUUUUAUCCGCAUCUCAUCAACAACAAGGUUACACAUUUUUGACUGUGUUGAUGUCAAACUUUGUACUUCGGCUUGCAAUCUGCUUUGGACCAAGGGGCUAAAACCGAUUUCACCAUAUGUAGUCCCUGUGUACUUCUGUAAUGUUGUCCUCGAUGGCAUCUUGAAGAGUUCAUCUCUUAUAUAUUCAUAGCCUUUGGAUGACAAGGUUCUUAGAAUGACACAGUGACGCACAGUUGUUUCUGACCAAGUUGGCCGCUUUUUGCUGUAAUUCACAACUUGGUCUAGAAGGAGGGUAGCACGAACAUUCUUGUCUGCAGCAUCAUUCACGACACUGAGAAACGAGCUGACAUAGCAGUCCUCCUUUAACUUCCUCAGCUCCGACUUAUAUUUGUCCACGGUUUGUUCAAGGUGCUGAAUGUGGGCUCGUAGAUUUCUUUCUUUCUGGAGCAGCCUUUUCCUGUCAAAAUAUGAGGUUGACAUAUAAAGUGACGAAGUCUGUGUGCCAAAAGCUCUCAAUGCGUGAGGUGACUGGAGUUCACACCCAGCGCUGCUGCCGCCAGCACCCGCUGACGUGGAAUGGGGUACCUCAGCAAAUUUGCUCUUCUGAGGGGCAAAUCUGGUUUCUGUUUCAGUGGGCAGAGUUGUCAUGAGACUGGUUGCCUGAUCACUGGCUGGUGCACCGGCAGGCAUUGUCCCCUCCAGCUCAUUGGAGAAGUCGUCCUUUUGCACUCUGUUUGCUUCAAUGGCUGAAAUCGGAGUCGCCGUGACAGUUGUCGUCGGAUUACUGUUCACUGCACUGACAGGCGUUCUCUCCAGCUGUUCACUGCAAAAGUCAUUUCGUGCUGUGUCACUCACAAGUGGGCCGGGCUUAGUGCAACGUGCGUCUGUAGUAGACAGAACACGCUUUCGCUUCCUGAUGCUCUUGUCAUCACGUUCAACAUGUGGAACCGGUUGCAGAUAUGCAGGAUAUCCAGGGAAAAUCGAAGGGACGGCUCCUCUCUUUAGCUGGCGGGUUUUGGUGUUUUCCUUGAAGUCACUUGCUGCAAAAUGUUUGCUACAUACUACAGAAUAGUUCGACGUAGUGUUCGGCACCCAGUUCUUACGCGAUAUGACCUUUAGCCACUUGCUUCGUAGCUCGACAUCAGCGGGCACCUCGUGAAACGAGACGCCGGGCUCCUUCUUCUUCGCGCUCGAAGUACAGAACGGCACGAAGCAGUACCGCAUUCUCGCCUUUUUCCCGCGGUAGCAUCCACAAGUCAAAAUAACUUCGUAGAGCAAACACACAGACACGAUUUUUCUGGAUUUAGCACGGCAUACAGACGAUACAAACGCUAGUACACGACGGCCGAAUGUCAAGAAAGGAAGUGUCAGGCUGUGGCGCCCCAUGCGGAGAGUGUCGGCGUAGGUGCGAGGAGGUUUGGGAGAGGGCUGGAACUCGCCGUGGUCGCAAUCCGACAGGCAUUCUACAGUAUAGAGGAGGCGCUGUAUCUAUGAAGACAUAUGAAUUGGAAGUGCUGCACUUUGUCAGUCUACCUGGAUUCAGUUGGCAGGCUGCUCUCAAGUAUACAAAGGCCGAGAUCGAGCUACUUACAGAUGAACAUAUGUAUCGAACCAUCGAGUCUUCUAUUAGAGGUGGUAUUUGCCAACAAGGAUUGAGGUAUGCUGCUGCCAAUAACAAAUAUUGUGCAAACUUUGACCCGGAGAAACCGCAAAGUUACAUCUCCUAUUGGGAUGCAAACAGUCUGUAUGCCGGUUGCCAAACAUUGCCAUUGCCUAUUGGAAGAUUUGAGUGGGUGCCCGAAUCCGAAUUUUCGAGUUUGGACAUCAUUAACCAUCCUCAGGAUGCAGAGUACGGCUACAUUUACGUGUGCGACCUCGUCUACCCACCAGAGCUACACCAGAAGACCAGGUAUUUCCCACUAGCUCUAAUGAAGCAAAAGGUUGACGAGAGUUGGUUGUCGGAGUAUCAGUUGGCUCUAAAAGACCAAUUGAAUUACAAACCUGCAGCACAAGGUAAGUUACUUCUCACUUGUAAUGAUAAAACAGAGUAUGUUGUACAUUAUCGUUUAUUGAGUCUAUAUUGUAAGUUAGGUAUGCGUGUGAGCAAAAUUCAUAGAGUGUUGAAAUUUCGUCAGGGUACGGUCUUUGGUCCGUACAUUGAAAUGAACAUUCAGCGACGCAUUGCAGCGCAAACGGACUUUGAGAAGCAGUUGUAUAAAAUCAAUUGUAACUCUUUGUAUGGCCGUUGUUUCCUUUCCCCCAGGCGAUUUAGAUCAAUUAAGAUAGCAUUCACCAAAGAAGAGGCCCAAAGAUAUAGCUCCUCGAAUGACUGCAUUCGAUUUGAAAUUUUGUCAGAGAACUGUGUGUUGUAUGAGAUGAAGAAAAGGAGAGUAAAAUGUAGCUUUCCAUUACAGAUUGGUUUUUGUAUUUUAGAUUAUAGUAAGUUGGUAAUGUACGAAUUCGUCUAUUGCACUCUCUUGGAAAAGUUGAAUUGUCCCAUCACCAUCAUGUAUUCGGAUACCGAUUCUAUCAUUGGCGUGUUUCAUACGUCAGAGUAUGAAGAGGAAAUCAAAAAGAUUGCAGAUGAUCACCUCGACCUUUCAUCCUAUCCCAUUGAUCAUCCACUCUAUUGUAAUAAAAAUAAAGGGGCAUUGUUCCGCUUCAAGGAUGAGACUGGAGGUAGGAUAAUUGAAGAGGUGGUUGCUCUGAAAGCAAAAAUGUAUUCUAUCCGAUUGAGUGACGAUAGUCAAAUUGCUAGAGCAAAAGUUGUUAAGAAAAGUAUUGCUUGUAGGGAAUUGCAUCAUGAUGUAUAUAAAGAUGUUUUGUUUAAUAGUGUGAAGGUAAGUCAUCCACAAAGGACCAUAUGUAGUAAACGUCAAUGUAUGUAUACAGUGGAAACAACUAGGCUUGCACUCAUGCCCUACGAUGAUAAGAGAUACCUCUUUAACGCCAUUGAGUCAUACCCAUAUGGAAGCUGUGAAAUUGAUAGUGAGUAAGUAUAUUCUUUAUUAUGUGUAUUGUGUUUCUUCUGUUACAGGUCGUGAAGGUUUUUCGGCUGGGUUUUUCUCCUUCACCUGAUUGGCAUCACAAUUGGCACAAUUCCCAGCACAAUUGGCUUUAAUAAAUAUAUCACAACUUGAUUGGCAUUACAAUUGGCAUUAAUAAAUAUAUUUUCACUUGUA